GUGAAAAUAGCUGUGGGGGUACACCUAGUUCCAUUCCGAACCUAGAAGUUAAGCCCAUAAACGCUGAAAGUACUUGGAGGGAAGCUUCCUGGGAGGAUA
rnacentral:rRNA from 1 species